UCUCCACCUUCCCCAGCAUGGAAGCAAGUUCCACCUAAGCAUGGAGCGCCUUCACUUUUGCACAGCUCUGUGUCCCUGUACUGCCACUUGUGGUGGUGAAGGAAAGGCCACACUCAGCUCAAUACAAUGGUUCUGCCAGGACUUUACUAUGUCCCACUCAUUCUCAUCCACUACACCACCUGGUCCAGUAGAAGGUGUUCCUGCCCAUGGCAAUGGAUUGGAAACAGAUGAUCUUUAAGGUCCCUUCCAACCCAAACCAGUCUCUGAAAUGCAAAUAUAGCAGCUCUCAGACCAGCUGGACCAAGCACAGUCAUCAAUAUGGUAACACAUGCUUGUAAAGUUUCAAAUACAAGCAGCCAGGCUACAAAGAAAACACAAUACUAAAGAUCAGUUUCUUUGACCAAAGACCCCGAGAAAUCUACCAUCAUGUUUAUCACAUCUCCAUGGAUUUGAAAUAAUCAUACCAACAUCUGGAGUGGGAAUGGGCUUCAAAUAUCCACAGCACAAUAAACACAAUGCUAUUAAUCUUCA